ensembl:lncRNA
CGUUUAAGGUUUUACCUUAAAUUUAAUUUAAAUUUAAAUACCGUAAUUUCAUUAACUGAUAUAAUGUUAAUAUACUGUACCAACUUAUUUAAGUACUGUAAAAAAUAAUCCCAAAAAUAUACGGUAAAAAACUGGCAGCUGUGGUUGCCAGAAUUUUACCGUAAAAAUUACAGUAACACCGUUUUAGGUUUAAUGGUUUUAUACCGUAAAAAAUACGGUAACACCAUUUUAGGUUUAACGGUUUUACCUUAAAUGUACAUUUUAAUACCGUAAUUUAACUGAUAUAAUAUUAAUAAACCAAUUUAUUGAAGUACUGUACUGAAAUCUGUUUUGUACCUUUGUAAUACACUGGUAACCACCAAAACCAGGUAGUGAUGAGAAAGUCACGUGACGAAACAAAGCCCAUCACAAGCAGCUUUUAAAUAAUAAGAGACAUAGACUGUGUCCAAAUUCAGGGUCUACUGUGUUACGUCACAGCGCCGCGACGAAGGCUGUCCAAAUUCAUAGGAUCCUUCAAAUGCGGCCCACAAAUACGUCCUCCUUUUCCCUGAAUUGGAAGGAUGGGUGUGGUGGAUCCUUUCCCGUCCUACCUAUCCCAUAAUUCUUUUCGGCAGAGCGUAAUGGCGGACGAAGCGAGCGGUAGUGGAGUGGGAGAGUAGUAUGCUUUUCGAUGAUAGUUUUGGAGAAGAUGGGCCUGUCUGGUAAAGUGACACCAGCCCAAGCAAAGAAAAAGUGGGACAAUUUAAAAAAGAAAUAUAAAGAAUGCAAGUAUCCAGGGUCAGGAGAGGGAGUGAGUGGGAAGCCCACUGCUGCUACUUGGCCCUGGUUUGUCCAAAUGGAUGAGGUUUUAGGACAAAGGCCUUCAAUUUGCCCCCCUGUCCUUAUUGCCUCCAUCCCUAUGGACACUCCAGGGCCAAGUGCAGCAGUGAGUGACCAAGAGGAGAGAGAGGAAGAAGAGAGGGAAGGAGAUAGGCAGCCAGCAGCGAAGAAGAGGAGAAGGGACAGUGACCAGGAGCUGUUAGACCUCAUCAGGGAGGACAUGAGGCAGCAGAGAGAGGCUGAAGAGAGGAGAGCACAGGCUGAAGAGAGGAGGGCACAGGAGAGCAGGGAGAGGAUGGACAGGCUCUUCUCCAUUCUGGAGCGUUGGGUCCCCAAAUAAUUUUUUUUUUUUUCUUGGGGUGGGAGGGUUUACAUUUCUUCCAUUGUUAGCUUAAGUUGUUUGAAAUAAAUUGUUUGAAAGAAAUUCUUCUCA